AUUGAACGCUGGCGGCAUGCCUUACACAUGCAAGUCGAACGGCAGCGGACCUUCGGGUGCCGGCGAGUGGCGAACGGGUGAGUAAUAUAUCGGAACGUACCUUUCAGUGGGGGAUAACGUAGCGAAAGUUACGCUAAUACCGCAUAUUCUGUGAGCAGGAAAGCAGGGGAUCGCAAGACCUUGCGCUGAUUGAGCGGCCGAUAUCAGAUUAGCUAGUUGGUGAGGUAAAGGCUCACCAAGGCGACGAUCUGUAGCGGGUCUGAGAGGAUGAUCCGCCACACUGGAACUGAGACACGGUCCAGACUCCUACGGGAGGCAGCAGUGGGGAAUUUUGGACAAUGGGCGCAAGCCUGAUCCAGCCAUGCCGCGUGAGCGAAGAAGGCC
rnacentral:rRNA from 1 species